CCCUUAGAUGUUCUGGGCCGCACGCGCGCUACACUGAUGCAUUCAACGAGUCUAAAACCUGCUCUGAUAGGGGUGGGUAAUCUUUUGAAUGUGCAUCGUGAUUGGGAUAGAUGAUUGCAAUUUUUCAUCUUCAACGAGGAAUGCCUAGUAAACGCAAGUCAUCAGCUUGCAUUGAUUACGUCCCUACCCUUUGUACACACCGCCCGUCGCUCCUACCGAUUGAAUGAUCCGAUGAAUAUCAUGGAUUGAGGAUGCAAGUAGGUUCGCCUAUCUUCAUCUUCGAGAAGUGAAGUAAAUCUUAUCAUUUAGAGGAAGGAGAAGUCGUAACA
rnacentral:rRNA from 1 species